UCUCCCUGAAAUACACAUCUCUUACUACGCACCCUUCUCUCAAGGUAUGACAAGUACAAAGCGAGCUCUGGUUUGUAUAGCUCCGGGGUUCGAAGAGGUUGAGUUUACUGUGCCAGUUGAUAUUCUCAGACGAGGCGGAGUGGACGUUAAGAUUGCUACUAUUCUCGAUGAUAUGAGCCCGGUACCAGGACGUUGUGGUAUCAAGAUCUCCCCCGAAUGUCUCAUAUCUGAAAUAACUGAGGAUGAUUUGUACGACCUUGUAUUUGUUCCUGGUGGUCUGGCAGCUGCUGAAGCUUUUGCUGCCUCCCCAACUGUAGGUGAUAUCUACACGAGGCACAACAACCAGAACAAGUUUGUGGCUGCUAUCUGUGCUUCACCCAUUGCUUUCAAUAAACACAAGAUAAACCACGGUAGACGUAUCACGUGCUACCCGGCUCUUGCUAUUCGACUAGAUGGAAACUACAAGUACUGCUCUGACUCUGUGGUGGUUGAUGGGAAUAUGAUAACCUCAAGAGGGCCUGGAACUGCCUUCGAUUACGGAAUGGAACUGCUUGAGCAGCUCAAAGGAAAAGAUACCAGGGAUCAGAUUGCUAAAGAUAUGCUGUACACCUUAUGAGAGCCGAACUUGAUCUUUUGUUCCAACUUGAAAAGGCAUAAAAAAGUCAUAAAUGAACCCACUGCUCUCUAUAGUCAUGGUAACCUAUACUCCUUAAUCUCGCCUACUGCGGAGUCCUAAACCCUAAAUUCCCAAUUUGUUCCUCAACCUCCUUGAACCUAAAAAACCUAAAUUCCUCAUUCCUAUUACGUGUCCUUGACUCACUCCUUACCUAGUCCUCAACCCUAAAUUUCAACCAGUCCUAAUAAAUUGCAACCUUGAUUCCUGUUCUCCGACUUUCCUAACACCCUAAGAUCCUAAAACCCAUCACUCCUAACCCUAACUACAAUUCUAGUAGCGUCAAAUUGACUAUGGUGGAACGCAAGCGUGGGAGUCGUGACAGGUACGACUCAGAUGAAGACAGGGAAAGAAACUAUGACUCAAAACGAAGACGAAGCAACGUCCACAUCAUCAAGCUACUCUGCCCUUACUACAUUGCCGGAGCUGUGAUCGGUAAGGGAGGUGAGCGGAUCAGGGAAGUUAAAGAUCGUUCCGGAGCUAACAUAGAGAUCUCACGUCAUGAAGCUAGGUUUCCGAACACAGAUGAGCGUGUUAUUGCUAUUGAGGGAGAGCGAGACGAGCUGCAAUCUGCUGCUCGGUAUCUAAAUGAGAACAUGAGAGAAGGUGAGUCCACCACUGCAGCCUCGUCAUCCUCCCGCAGUAAUGACUACGACUCUGAGCGCAGGAAGAAGACAUGCAAGAUCCUGGUGUCUGACUCUGCCAUGGCAAUGAUCAUUGGACGAGGAGGGGAUAAUAUCAGGGAUAUAAAGAAGGAGUUUGCAGUUCAGAUCAACACUUCAAAACGUCACGAGACACCUCGUGAGCUGGACGAGAGGAUUGUCACUAUCGAGGGGGAAGACAGAGAUGUUGACAAAUGUGUUGAUGAGCUCAUCUGUCAGAUCUCCUCUGAUGAUAGAUCCAGGAUGAAGUUCUUCGUAGACUACUCCGAGAUCAGACACUACAGCCGGGGACGUGGUGGCGGUGGUGGAUAUGGUGGUGGUGGUUCUCGUAACAGGGGCAGAGGUAGAUCCAGAUCCAGAUCUAGAUCUCGGGGUAAAAGAUCUAGGUCCAGGUCCAGAGAAAGGGCCCGCAAAUCACCAUCAUUUGAGGGAAGAAGCAAACGUCGUACUCGCAGCCGCACCCGUUCCCCAGUCCGUUCUCCCUCACGAUCCAGAUCCCGGUAGAUGUGGAGUGUCGUUGAGCUUGCUGUCUCGUGAAGGUAACUGACAAUUUACAGACUUAUUGUAUACCUUGCUAUAUGUUUUUCAAACUUAAAAAAUGCGGGAGUCAAUUUUACUUACUUUAUACAUUUGAUUACCUUUGGCUUUUUCAGCGAUAUAUUUGGACGAUUUGUAUUUACGAGCAGCAGAGCCAUUUCUCAUAUUUUUGUCUGAGUUUAAUCGCCCUUGAAGUCAGAUAUCAAUCAUCAAUAAUAGUAGUUGUGCCAAGGUAUAUCAAUUUAUAGACCGCUUAACUGAUGAGUGAUAUCAUUGUAUACUUGUAUACCAUCGCAAAUAUUGCUACUAUUCAACAUUCAUACAUGAUACUGUUUUGCAUAUCCGAUAAUUUCUCCCAAAUUGAUCAAAAUAUGUAUUUGUUCGUGUCUUUAAAUUUUUCGGAGCAACAUUAAAUUCUAUUUUAUUGAAAUUUUACAGAAAAGCUCAAUGCUUGCUAAGUAUUGAUGUCUUUACGAUGAUUACUGUGAAAUGUUUUACAAAUGAUUUUCCUGAUUGAAUUGCGCCCCAGCUAAAAUUAGCAACUAUCUUGCGUUUGAAUUGAAAUGGAAUAUUUCUCGCUGUUUCUCAAAAUUAUUUUAUUUAUAA